CGCGUAGGCGGUGUGGCAAGUUUCUCGUGAAAUCUAUGGGCUCAACCCAUAGCCUGCGGGGAAAACUGCCAUGCUCGAGUGUGGGAGAGGUGCGUGGAAUUCCCGGUGUAGCGGUGAAAUGCGUAGAGAUCGGGAGGAACACCUGCGGCGAAAGCGGCGCACUGGACCACUACUGACGCUGAUGCGCGAAAGCUGGGGGAGCAAACAGGAUUAGAUACCCUGGUAGUCCCAGCCCUAAACGAUGAUUGCUUGGUGUGACCGGUACCCAAUCCGGCCGUGCCGUAGCUAACGCGAUAAGCAAUCCGCCUGGGGAGUACGGUCGCAAGGCUGAA
rnacentral:rRNA from 1 species